UGACAUGUAUGUAUUUUUGCCGAACAUGUGUGCAAAAUAUUGAGUUUUGUUUAAUUUUUUAAAAUAAAAACCGAGAGAAAUUAAUCAAAAAAAAUUACACACGAUUGUACGAAAUGUCGCAAUUUAUCCAUACCGAUGUCACAGCAGUGAAAUCGUACCGAAACCUCAUAUUAUCAGGUAUCGGUAGUUCAAUCAGCGUGUUCGAAAAGGAAUCCUUUAAAUUAUUGACACGAAUUAAAUGCCUUGAGGGACAAAAAAUUUAUGGAUUAGUGCCUUUGGAAAACAGCAGUAAAGUUCUUGUUUUUGGUGGGAAACAGUAUACAGUUAUCAAAUUUAACGAAGACUGUACAAAUGUUGAACGUUUGUUUAUGCCACCUACUUGUGACGACUGGUUGCAUUCAGCUGUAUGGGUGGAUGCUGAUUCAGUAGCAUUAUUGACUGCUCACAACACAAUUCAGAUAUGGAAUGUAACCACCGAAAGCAUGUUGAGCCAGCACUUGAGCACAGACAACUCGAUUCUGUACAGUGGCCUGUUGCUGCCUUUACAAGAUGGCUUGGUGGUGUUCGCUGGAACCGUAUAUUCGGAGGUUAUCAUUCAUACCCCUCAAAAUGAAAAGCCUUUACACAUUUUGAAGGGACAUAGGGGAGUAAUAUUCUCAAUAUCAUGUGAUCCAGAAAAUUCUGUGAUGGUUACAACUUCAGAUGACAGAUCAGUUAGAAUUUGGCAAUUAAUACGAACCGAUUACACAUUACUAUUGCCAUGGAACACAACCGAAUACUGGACGAAUGUAAACAUUGUGUGUAGCCACGAAGUGUAUGGCCACACAGCUCGAGUAAUGAGAAGUUACAUCACGGAAGAUCUGAUUGUAUCUGUUGGGGAGGACUCAACUAUAUGUUUUUGGAACCACAAAGGAAACUUGCUCAAGAAAAACGAAUCACACAAAAACUGCCCCAUUUGGUCUGUAGAUGGUGAUUCCAGUCAUUUAUUUACUGGUGGUGGUGAUGGGGCAGUCAUUAUGCAUCCUUUGACUAUGGCUUUAGAGGAAGGUCAGCAAACAACAAUACAUUUAAACACUCAAAAAGAAAUUGUACCAAAAAAAAUUGCUAUAACAGCCAGAAAUAAUCUUGUAAUUUUAGAUGACUCUGAUGGGGUAAUAUACUAUUACAAAACAAAGGCUAUGACUACUGAAACACAUAUAGUAAACAUUUAUUCUACUCUCAGAUUUCUCAGUGCAUCGAGCUGCAAGCAACUUUUUGCAGUAGGAGACAUGUCAGGCAAAAUAGACAUUUUUGCAGAAGAUUGUAAACAUGAUUGUUUAAAAAAAAUAAUUCAAUGCAAUAUAAAAGUAGGUCCUACUCUUACUAUGCAUUGGGCAGGGAACAGGCAUAUAAUUUUGUGUGGCGAAGAAGGUCUUAUGACAGUCUUGACACAGACACAGACAGUAGAACCUGCACUAAAGAUCCACAAGCUUGCCUUUUUGCCUAAUUCUAAAGACAGAAGGGUCACAGCAGCUGCUUUGAAUAGUCAAAACAAAAUCAUGGUAGUUGGUGAUAGAUGUGGCAAUGUACAUGUUUACAUUGACGAACGAAAAAUUCCGGUUCAAACAUUCAAAAAAGUCCAUGGUAUAUAUGGGCCUACUUCAAUAACAGUCAAACCAAAUGAAUUUAUUACCACUGGCAGAGAUGGAACCAUUCGAUAUUUCGCAAUAGAUUUCUCAUUAAGUAAAGACGACGAUUCUGUUGCAAAGUUUAAGAGUAGUAAAGAUGUGGCAUUUCAAUGGGUUGAAAGAUUUAUUGAUAAAGAUGAAAAUAUAAUUUGUGGAUUUAAAGAAAGAGAAUUUGUCGUUUAUAAUGUUCAAAGCAAUCUAAAACUGAUAGCGAUACCUUGCGGUGGUGGGCACAGGACUUGGGACGUCGUCCGAAACGUCAUCUUAUCUGGCAAGAAAACUGAUGAUUUCAUCAAGUUGGUAUAUGCUAAAAAUAACGCAAUUUGCAGCCAUACCUUCCAACUGAGCAAGGUAGUGUCUAAACACGUCAUAAACAGCUCACAUUCGAAGGAAAUCAAUUGCCUAAAGAGUUUUAAAAAUGAAUUGGACACAACUAUUGCUUAUUACGUUACUGGCGGGGAAGAUACUACGUUAAGGGUGUCUUCUAUUAAUUCAGAUAUGGAAAUCUGUGACGAGGUUGUUUUUAAGCAUCUAUCAAACAUAAGGGCUUUAAAGAUACUUGAUUUGGAGGGUAGCAUACUUGUCGUGUCUGGCGGUGGAAGAGCGCAGAUGCGUAUCCAAGCAAUAUACGUCUCAAGAGGCCAUAAACGACUUAAAGUAGCGGCGCAAGAGCUAACUAACUACCUAAUCAAGGGUACAGAUAAAGACAGGAAGUGUAAUCAGUCUUGGAAAAACAACACAAUAGAUUUCGAUCCAGAAACAAGAAUCAUGGAUGUUGACCUACUGAAACAAGAGGAUGACAACUUUCUCGUAUUUGCAGGCUGCUCUGACGCUUAUCUCAGAGUAUUUGUAUUUGUUAACAAAUGUGAUAAUGCAACUUUCGAGCCUGUCGCUGAAUUGAAGCAUCACCAAACGUGCAUUUUGAAGACGACUUGUAUAAAGAUUUUAAAUAAAAAUAUUUUAAUAACGUGCACCACGAGAGGGGAAGUUUCCCUGUGGGAUGUCAGCAAUAUUGAAUCAUGGGAUGGCCUUAGUCCGUUUUUCACGACGACGACUAAUAAAUGUGGAAUAAACAGCAUUGACACACGCGUAUAUUAUGAAAAGUUGCUUUUUGCGACAGGGGGAGAUGAUAAUGCUAUACAUUUAACCUUACUAGAAUUCCCGAACAAAAAUGUUUACGCUGCUUGUGUGAAGCGUACAUGGUCCACAGACCAGUUCCAUUGCUCCCAAGUCACUGGAGUGCGAUUCGUGGGUGAUCUGCUGUUGUCGACUUCUAUAGACCAGAGAAUAACGUUGGCGCGGUGGCGCGUGGAAAAGCAGGCGAUAGUGUGCGAAUUUCUGUCUCAAAUCUUCAGCGAUAUUGCCGACAUUCAAGGACUAGAAGUUCUUUCAGACACCGGCAAUGUCAUCAAGGUUUGCGUUUUCGGCAAGGGCUUCGAGAUGUUGGAAUUACCGAAGCCGUAAGCAAUAAGCAUCGCCUCCGCAACAACCGAUAAGCUAUCAACAGCCGUUAUCUUCAACGAGCCCGAGUGUAUACGUAUUAAGUACCCACUACCAGAAGACGACGAAAAUAAUGAUUAUGAAGAGUUUACUGAUGU